rnacentral:tRNA from 1 species
GCACCGAUGGCGGAAUGGCAGACGCGCUUGGUUGAGGGCCAAGUCCACUAACGUGGGUGGAGGUUCGACUCCUCUUCGGUGCA